GACGAACGCUGGCGGCGUGCUUAACACAUGCAAGUCGAACGGAAAGGCCUUUUCGGAGGUACUCGAGUGGCGAACGGGUGAGUAACACGUGGGUGAUCUGCCCUGCACUCUGGGAUAAGCCUGGGAAACUGGGUCUAAUACCGGAUAGGACCGCACUUUAGUGUGUGUGGUGGAAAGUUUUUUCGGUGUAGGAUGAGCCCGCGGCCUAUCAGCUUGUUGGUGGGGUAAUGGCCUACCAAGGUGGCGACGGGUAGCCGGACUGAGAGGUUGGUCGGCCACAUUGGGACUGAGAUACGGCCCAGACUCCUACGGGAGGCAGCAGUGGGGAAUAUUGCACAAUGGGCGCAAGCCUGAUGCAGCGACGCCGCGUGGGGGAUGACGGCCUUCGGGUUGUAAACUCCUUUCGCCAGGGACGAAGCGUUUUGUGACGGUACCUGGAGAAGAAGCACCGGCUAACUACGUG
rnacentral:rRNA from 1 species